rnacentral:rRNA from 1 species
CCUACGGGUGGCUGCAGUGGGGAAUAUUGCACAAUGGGCGCAAGCCUGAUGCAGCCAUGCCGCGUGUGUGAAGAAGGCCUUCGGGUUGUAAAGCACUUUCAGCGGGGAGGAAGGCGGUGAGGUUAAUAACCUCAUCGAUUGACGUUACCCGCAGAAGAAGCACUGGCUAACUCCGUGCCAGCAGCCGCGGUAAUACGGAGGGUGCAAGCGUUAAUCGGAAUUACUGGGCGUAAAGCGCACGCAGGCGGUCUGUCAAGUCGGAUGUGAAAUCCCCGGGCUCAACCUGGGAACUGCAUUCGAAACUGGCAGGCUAGAGUCUUGUAGAGGGGGGUAGAAUUCCAGGUGUAGCGGUGAAAUGCGUAGAGAUCUGGAGGAAUACCGGUGGCGAAGGCGGCCCCCUGGACAAAGACUGACGCUCAGGUGCGAAAGCGUGGGGAGCAAACAGGAUUAGAUACCCGAGUAGUC